UCGCUAGCCAUGCGAGUCAUAUGUUCUUCGUGAACAUGGCGUACUGCUCAGUAACACGUGGAUAACCUGCCCUUGGGUCCGGCAUAACCCCGGGAAACUGGGGAUAAUUCCGGAUAACGCAUAUAUGCUGGAAUGCUUUCUGCGUAAAAUGGAUUCGUCUGCCCAAGGAUGGGUCUGCGGCCUAUCAGGUAGUAGUGGGUGUAAUGUACCUACUAGCCGACGACGGGUACGGGUUGUGAGAGCAAGAGCCCGGAGAUGGAUUCUGAGACAUGAAUCCAGGCCCUACGGGGCGCAGCAGGCGCGAAAACUUUACAAUGCGGGAAACCGUGAUAAGGGGACACCGAGUGCCAGCAUCAUAUGCUGGCUGUCCGGGUGUGUAAAAUACACCCGUUAGCAAGGGCCGGGCAAGACCGGUGCCAGCCGCCGCGGUAACACCGGCGGCCCGAGUGGUGAUCGUGAUUAUUGGGUCUAAAGGGUCCGUAGCCGGUUUGGUCAGUCCUCCGGGAAAUCUGAUAGCUCAACUAUUAGGCUUUCGGGGGAUACUGCCAGGCUUGGAACCGGGAGAGGUAAGAGGUACUACAGGGGUAGGAGUGAAAUCUUGUAAUCCCUGUGGGACCACCUGUGGCGAAGGCGUCUUACCAGAACGGGUUCGACGGUGAGGGACGAAAGCUGGGGGCACGAACCGGAUUAGAUACCCGGGUAGUCCCAGCCGUAAACGAUGCCCGCUAGGUGUCAGGCAUGGCGCGACCGUGUCUGGUGCCGCAGGGAAGCCGUGAAGCGAGCCACCUGGGAAGUACGGCCGCAAGGCCGAAACUUAAAGGAAUUGGCGGGGGAGCACAACAACGGGUGGAGCCUGCGGUUUAAUUGGACUCAGCGCCGGACAACUCACCGGGGGGCGACAGCAAUAUGUAGGCCAAGCUGAAGACUUUGCCUGAAUC
rnacentral:rRNA from 1 species